UCCGGUUUGUCACCGGCAGUCCCAUUAGAGUGCUCAACUGAAUGUAGCAACUAAUGGCAAGGGUUGCGCUCGUUGCGGGACUUAACCCAACAUCUCACGACACGAGCUGACGACGGCCAUGCAGCACCUGUCUCGCGAUUCCCGAAGGCACCCGGACAUUUCUGUCCAGUUCCGCGGAUGUCAAGGCCAGGUAAGGUUCUUCGCGUUGCGUCGAAUUAAACCACAUGCUCCACCGCUUGUGCGGGCCCCCGUCAAUUCCUUUGAGUUUCAGCCUUGCGGCCGUACUCCCCAGGCGGGGUGCUUAAUGCGUUAGCUUCGGCACGGAAGGGGUCGAUAUCCCCCCACACCUAGCACCCAUCGUUUACGGCUGGGACUAC
rnacentral:misc_RNA from 1 species